GAUCCAUGACGGUACCAGCAGAAGAAGCACCGGCUAACUACGUGCCAGCAGCCGCGGUAAUACGUAGGGUGCAGGCGUUAAUCGGAAUUACUGGGCGUAAAGCGUGCGCAGGCGGUUUGCUAAGAGAGAUGUGAAAUCCCCGGGCUUAACCUGGGAACUGCGUUUCUAACUGGCAGGCUUGAGUGUGGCAGAGGGGGGUGGAAUUCCACGUGUAGCAGUGAAAUGCGUAGAGAUGUGGAGGAACACCGAUGGCGAAGGCAGCCCCCUGGGCUAACACUGACGCUCAUGCACGAAAGCGUGGGGAGCAAACAGGAUUAGAUACCCUGGUAGUCCACGCCCUAAACUAUGUCAACUGGUUGUCGGGGAAGCAAUUCCUUGGUAACGAAGCUAACGCGUGAAGUUGACCGCCUGGGGAGUACGGCCGCAAGGUUAGAACUCAAAGGAAUUGACGGGGACCCGCACAAGCGGUGGAUUAUGUGGAUUAAUUCGAUGCAACGCGAAAAACCUUACCUACCCUUGACAUGCCAGGAACCUCGCAGAGAUGUGAGGGUGCCCGAAAGGGAACCUGGACACAGGUGCUGCAUGGCUGUCGUCAGCUCGUGUCGUGGGAUGUUGGGUUAAGUCCCGCAACGAGCGCAACCCUUAUCAUUAGUUGCUACGCAAGGGCACUCUAAUGAGACUGCCGGUGACAAACCGGAGGAAGGUGGGGAUGACGUCAGGUCAUCAUGGCCCUUAUGGGUAGGGCUACACACGUCAUACAAUGGCCGGUACAGAGGGCUGCCAACCCGCCGAGGGGGAGCUAAUCUCUAGAAAACCGGUCGUAGUCCGGAUCGCA
rnacentral:rRNA from 1 species